rnacentral:rRNA from 1 species
AUUGAACGCUGGCGGCGUGCCUAACACAUGCAAGUCGAACGGAAAAAGGGUGCUUGCUCGUGGAGCGAACGGGGGACGAGUGUGUAAUACCUAGGAAUCUCCCUGGUAGUAGCUGCUCACGACAGCAAACAAUAGCUCAUACCGCCUGCGUGUUGAGGCGGAGAGUGGGAGAACUUCGGACGUCUCGCUAUGAGAAGAGCCUAGGUCGGAUUAGCUAGUUGGUGGGGUAAAGGCCUACCAAGGCGACGAUCCGUAGCUGGUCUGAGAGGAUGACCAGUCACACUGGAACUGAGACACGGUCCAGACUCCUGCGGGAGGCAGCAGUGGGGAAUAUUGGACAAUGGGCGAAAGCCUGAUCCAGCCAUGCCGCGUGUGUGAAGAAGGUCUUCGGGUUGUAAAGCGCUUUAAUUAGGGAAGAAGAGCAUUAGGCUAAUACCUUGGUGUCUUGACGGUACCUGAAGAAUAAGCACCGGCUAACUACGUG